UCGAACGAGAAAGUGGAGCAUCCAUGAGUAAAGUGGCGACCGGGUGAGUAACACGUGACUACCUACCCUUGAGUGGGGGAUAACCUCGGGAAACCGAGGCUAAUACCGCAUAAUAUCGAAAGAUCAAAGGAGUAAUCCGCUUUUGGAGGGGGUCGCGGCUGAUUAGCUAGUUGGUAGGGUAAUGGCCUACCAAGGCGAAGAUCGGUAUCCGGCCUGAGAGGGCGCACGGACACACUGGAACUGAAACACGGUCCAGACUCCUACGGGAGGCAGCAGUGGGGAAUUUUGCGCAAUGGGGGAAACCCUGACGCAGCAACGCCGCGUGGAGGAUGAAGCCCCUUGGGGUGUAAACUCCUUUCGACCGGGAAAAUUAUGAUGGUACCGGUGGAAGAAGCCCCGGCUAACUUCGUGCCAGCAGCCGCGGUAAUACGAGGGGGGCGAGCGUUGUUCGGAAUUAUUGGGCGUAAAGGGUGCGUAGGCGGUUUGGUAAGUCUUAUGUGAAAUCUAUGGGCUCAACUCAUAGACUGCAUGAGAAACUGCCGGGCUUGAGUAUGGGAGAGGUGAGUGGAAUUCCUGGUGUAGCGGUGAAAUGCGUAGAUAUCAGGAGGAACACCUGUGGCGAAAGCGGCUCACUGGACCAUAACUGACGCUGAUGCACGAAAGCUAGGGGAGCAAACAGGAUUAGAUACCCUGGUAGUCCUAGCCCUAAACGAUGACUGCUUGG
rnacentral:rRNA from 1 species